AAAAACAUCGCCUCCCGCAAAAAUCAAUGUAUAGGAGGUCCUACCUGCCCAGUGACUAUAAGUUAAACGGCCGCGGUAUUUUGACCGUGCAAAGGUAGCGCAAUCACUUGUCUUUUAAAUGAAGACCUGUAUGAAUGGUUGAACGAGGGCUUAACUGUCUCCCCCCUCCAGUCAAUGAAAUUGAUCUACCCGUGCAGAAGCGGGUAUAAUUAUACAAGACGAGAAGACCCUUUGGAGCUUAAGAUAAAAGACCAACUAUGUUAAAAGUCCUAAAAAAGCCUAAACCAAAUAGCACUGGUCCCAAUCUUCGGUUGGGGUGACCGCGGGAGAAAACAAAGCUCCCAUGCAGACUGGGGAAGUCCCCUAAAACCAAGAAAGACAUUUCUAAGGCACAGUACACCUGACUAAGAGAUCCGGCUAUAUGCCGACCAACGAACCAAGUUACCCUAGGGAUAACAGCGCAAUCCCCUUCCAGAGUCCAUAUCGACAAGGGGGUUUACGACCUCGAUGUUGGAUCAGGAUAUCCUAAUGGUGCAGCCGCUAUUAAGGGUUC
rnacentral:rRNA from 1 species